rnacentral:rRNA from 1 species
UACCAGCACCCCGAGUGGUCGGGACGUUAUUGGGCCUAAAGCAUCCGUAGCCGGUUCUACAAGUCUUCCGUUAAAUCCAGCUGCUUAACAGAUGGGCUGCGGAAGAUACUAUGGAGCUAGGAGGCGGGAGAGGCAAGCGGUACUCGAUGGGUAGGGGUAAAAUCCGUUGAUCCAUUGAAGACCACCAGUGGCGAAGGCGGCUUGCCAGAACGCGCUCGACGGUGAGGGAUGAAAGCUGGGGGGAGCAAACCGG